rnacentral:RNase_P_RNA from 13 species
AAAAGAAAAAAAUAAAAUAAAAUAAAAAGGAGAGAUGAGAAGACAAAGAAAGAAAGAAAAAUGAAGAGAAGUUUCCUUUCUUCUCUUCUUUUUUUUCUCUUCUCUCUUUUCCCCUCUCUGAAAUAUAUUUUUCACAAAA